rnacentral:tRNA from 1 species
AUUUAAAUAGUUUAUGAAAAUAUUGAUUUGUGAUGUCAAAGAUAUGAAGAGUCAUUUUAAAUC